UGGGGAAUUUUGCACAAUGGGGGAAACCCUGACGCAGCGACGCCGCGUGCGGGAUGAAGGCCUUCGGGUUGUAAACCGCUUUUGAUUGGGAGCAAGCUUUCGGGUGAGUGUACCUUUCGAAUAAGCGCCGGCUAACUACGUGCCAGCAGCCGCGGUAAUACGUAGGGCGCAAGCGUUAUCCGGAAUUAUUGGGCGUAAAGAGCUUGUAGGCGGUUCGUCGCGUCUGGUGUGAAAGCCCAUCGCUUAACGGUGGGUUUGCGCCGGGUACGGGCGGGCUAGAGUGCAGUAGGGGAGACUGGAAUUCCCGGUGUAACGGUGGAAUGUGUAGAUAUCGGGAAGAACACCAAUGGCGAAGGCAGGUCUCUGGGCUGUUACUGACGCUGAGAAGCGAAAGCGUGGGGAGCGAACAGG
rnacentral:rRNA from 1 species